rnacentral:tRNA from 1 species
GGCUCGGUAGCUCAGUCGGUAGAGCAGAGGACUGAAAAUCCUCUUGUCGGCGGUUCGAUUCCGUCCCGAGCCACCA